rnacentral:rRNA from 1 species
GACGAACGCUGGCGGCGUGCUUAACACAUGCAAGUCGAACGAUGAAGCAGAGAAACGCGCCCUUCGGUUCAAAUUUCACUUCGGAUUAGUGGCAGACGGGUGAGUAACGCGUGAGCAACCUACCUCUUACAAAGGGAUAGCCUCGGGAAACCGUGAUUAAUACCAUAUGACACAUUCAUAAGGCAUCUUAAGAAUGUUAAAGCUACGGCGGUAAGAGAUGGGCUCGCGUCCCAUUAGCUAGUUGGUGAGGUAACGGCCCACCAAGGCGACGAUGGGUAACCGGGCUGAGAGGGUGAACGGUCACAUUGGAACUGAGACACGGUCGAAACUCCUACGGGAGGCAGCAGUGGGGAAUAUUGCACAAUGGAGGGAACUCUGAUGCAGCGACGCCGCGUGAGCGAUGAAGGAAUUCGUUUCGCAAAGCUCUGUUCUAUGGGAAGAAAAGGACUGUACCAUAGGAGAAAGCCCCGGCUAAAUACGUG